GUUCUGAUUGUGUUCACUCACUCAUUAUCUUUGAGAAUAUAUACUGUAUUUGUUGUCUCCCUUCUCUUAUAUAAUAUUGUUUUAAUUUUAUUGUCAUGUAUUGUAAUUUCAAUGAAAAAAAUCAACACAAUUAUUUGUACACUUUAAUUUAAACUGUAAUUGUACUGCUCCUCGGGGCGUCUUGAUUGACAAAUAAAAAUUGUUGUUGUUGUUGUUGUUGUUGUU
rnacentral:lncRNA from 1 species